rnacentral:rRNA from 1 species
UACGUAGGGCGCGAGCGUUGUCCGGAAUUAUUGGGCGUAAAGAGCUCGUAGGCGGCCUGUUGCGUCUGCUGUGAAAUCCCGGGGCUUAACCCCGGGCGUGCAGUGGAUACGGGCAGGCUGGAGGCAGGCAGGGGAGAACGGAAUUCCCGGUGUAGCGGUGAAAUGCGCAGAUAUCAGAGGAACACCGGUGGCGAAGGCGGGUCUCUGGGCCGAUACUGACGCUGAGGUGCGAAAGCGUGGGGAGCAAACAGG